rnacentral:rRNA from 1 species
AUUGAACGCUGGCGGCAUGCCUUACACAUGCAAGUCGAACGGCAGCGCGGAGCUCGGUCUGGCGGCGAGUGGCGCACGGGUGAGUAAUACAUCGGAAUGUACCCCGUUGUGGGGGAUAACUACUCGAAAGAUUAGCUAAUACCGCAUACGACCUGAGGGUGAAAGUGGGGGACCGUAAGACCUCACGCAGCAGGAGCGGCCGAUGUCUGAUUAGCUAGUUGGUGGGGUAAAGGCCCACCAAGGCGACGAUCAGUAGCUAGUCUGAGAGGACGAUCAGCCACACUAGGACUGAGACACGGCCCAGACUCCUACGGGAGGCAGCAGUGGGGAAUGUUGGACAAUGGGGGCAACCCUGAUCCAGCAAUGCCGCGUGUGUGAAGAAGGCCUUCGGGUUGUAAAGCACUUUUGUCCGGUAAGAAAUGGCGCUGGUUAAUACCUGGCGUGGGUGACGGUACCGGAAGAAUAAGCACCGGCUAACUACGUG